rnacentral:rRNA from 1 species
CAUCCUACGGGGGGCAGCAGUGGGGGAUAUUGCACAAUGGGGGAAACCCUGAUGCAGCGACGCCGCGUGGGCGAAGAAGUAUUUCGGUAUGUAAAGCCCUAUCAGCAGGGAAGAAGAAAUGACGGUACCUGAGUAAGAAGCACCGGCUAAAUACGUGCCAGCAGCCGCGGUAAUACGUAUGGUGCAAGCGUUAUCCGGAAUGACUGGGUGUAAAGGGAGCGUAGACGGUUGUACAAGUCUGAUGUGAAAGCCCACGGCUCAACUGUGGGAGUGCAUUGGAAACUGUAGAACUAGAGUAUCGGAGG